AUGAACGCUGGCGGCGUGCCUAAUACAUGCCAGUCGAGCGAACGGACGAGAAGCUUGCUUCUCUGAUGUUAGCGGCGGACGGGUGAGUAACACGUGGAUAACCUACCUAUAAGACUGGGAUAACUUCGGGAAACCGGAGCUAAUACCGGAUAAUAUUUUGAACCGCCUGGUUCAAAAGUGAAAGACGGUCUUGCUGUCACUUAUAGAUGGAUCCGCGCUGCAUUAGCUAGUUGGUAAGGUAACGGCUUACCAAGGCAACGAUGCAUAGCCGACCUGAGAGGGUGAUCGGCCACACUGGAACUGAGACACGGUCCAGACUCCUACGGGAGGCAGCAGUAGGGAAUCUUCCGCAAUGGGCGAAAGCCUGACGGAGCAACGCCGCGUGAGUGAUGAAGGUCUUCGGAUCGUAAAACUCUGUUAUUAGGGAAGAACAUAUGUGUAAGUAACUGUGCACAUCUUGACGGGACCUAAUCAGAAAGCCACGGCUAACUACGU
rnacentral:rRNA from 1 species